AAGACUUGGAGGCACGAAAAUGGGAGAUUCAUGAGGAAUGAGAUACAAGUAGGAUAGGAUAGUCAAUUGACUUUUGUCAACCAUUUAUCCAAAAAGUCAACAGUUGAUCAAAAGUUAACUCUAGGUAAAAAAUGUAAUUUUUUGUAGAUUUUGAUUUGGAUUCUUUUGUAAUGUAGUUGGCUGUUUAUGAAAUGAAAAUGGCCUUUUGAAAUGAA
rnacentral:lncRNA from 1 species